UUUCACAAGUAAGUCAGCUGUUCAGUUGUAAUAACUCAACUCCACAGCGUUACACUUGUGAUAGAGCAAAUAUGCGGCUGUGCCACGCCUCCGCCCAUUGUGUCACUGUUCUAGUGGCGCACGGGCAAUGGAUGUGUGGUUCUUGGUCGCGUAAUUCGCCUAGAGAGUUGAGCCAGCGGAGCAGGUGG
rnacentral:snoRNA from 1 species